UUUACAGGGAUAUUUGAGACGAAAACGGCAGUCCAAGCAAGGCUUUAGGCUCGCUUCGCUUGGCCGCUCACAUUGCCGCGCGCCGCGCGCGCGAUCAGAAUUCAGAAGGCCUGAAAUUCCAGAUGAGGCGAGCGUGGUGUACCAUCGUCAUCGUCAUCGUCUACGAAAGGUUGGUUGGUCAUGAUCCGCGGCCAUUUGGAGGAUGCAGGGAGCGCGCCCCGCGUACGUGUUGGGGAGACAAGGCAUGGGGAGAUGCAUCCCAAGCGCGGGAGAUGGAUGGCGCGCGUACGUGUUCACGAGACAAAAGCGUACGGGGCUGUAUCCCAGGCGGGCCGCGACGAUCGUCGAUGAUGGAGAGCGACCGAGUGGCGCCGUCCACGCGCGCGACGUCUUCUUAAAAACUUCCAACGAUCGAUGCCGGACCCGCCCGCGGUCGUCGUCGGCGGCCCGGUCGGGAGCGAGACGGCUGAUAACACGUGCCCGUUCCUGGCAUGGAAGUUGCAGUAUACUUUCCUUGGUCUUGGUGACCAUGGGGCUUUGGGUUUCUGUCCUCUCUUGGCUCCCAUUCCCGGCUGGCGUGCCGUGCCGUGCGUGUGCGCUUGUUCGGGAAUUUGUAUACAGUAUACAGGCUUCCUAGUCUGUAGGGAGAUAGUACAAGUAUAGAUAAUGAAUA